AUUGUUUAAUUAAAACAAAUCAUUGUGAUGGUCCCUGUGGAUGUCGAUGCAAUGUGAUUUAUACCCAGUGCUCUGCAUGUGAAAGUAAAGAAAUUCAGCCAAGCACAGGUAAAUGACGAGAGUAAUUAUGACUCUCUUAAGGUAGUCAGAUGCCUCAUCCUCUAAUUAGUGACAUGCGUGAAUGGAUUAACAAUAUUCCCACUAUCCCUAGCUACUAUCUAUAAAAACCACAACCAAUGGAUAUUAG
rnacentral:ncRNA from 1 species